rnacentral:rRNA from 1 species
GCGGCCGCUCUGUUUGAUCCUGGCGGAGGUCACUGCUAUCGGUGUUCGAUUAAGCCAUGCGAGUCGAGAGGGGUCAUGCCCUCGGCGGACUGCUCAGUAACACGUGGACAACCUGACCAAAAGUCUGGGAUAACCCCGGGAAACUGGGGAUAAUACCGGAUAGAUUACCCUUGCUGGAAUGCUGGGUGGUUGAAACUUCAGGGGCUUUUGGGUGGGGUCUGCGGCUGAUUAGGUUGUUGCCGGUGUAACGUACCGUCAAGCCAGUUAUCAGUACGGGUUGUGGGAGCAAGAGCCCGGAGAUGGAUUCUGAGACACGAAUCCAGGCCCUACGGGGCGCASAGGGCGCGAAAACUCUACAAUGCAGGCAACUGCGAUAGGGGAACAUCGAGUGAUACUCAUAUUGGGUGUCUGUCCUUCCGUCUAAAAAACGGGAGUUAGCAAGGGCCGGGCAAGACCGGUGCCAGCCGCCGCGGUAAUUCCGGCGGCUCGAGUGGUGSCCGAUAUUAUUGAGUCUAAAGGGUCCGUAGCCGGCUUGGCAAGUCUCUUGGGAAAUCCAGCGGCUUAACCGUUGGUCGUCCGGGAGAUACUACCUUGCUUGGGACUGGGAGGGGCGUGAAGUACUCAGGGGGUAGGAGUGAAAUCCUGUAAUCCUUUGGGGACCACCGGUGGCGAAGGCGUCACGCCAGAACAGGUCCGACGGUGAGGGACGAAAGCUAGGGGCACGAACCGGAUUAGAUACCCGGGUAGUCCUAGCCGUAAACGAUGCUCGCUAGGUGUCACGACAGUCGUGAAUUGUCGUGGUGCCGUAGGGAAGCCGUGAAGCGAGCCACUUGGGAAGUACGACCGCAAGGUUGAAACUUAAAGGAAUUGGCGGGGGAGCACCCAACGGGUGGAGCUGCGGUUUAAUUGGACUCAGCGCCGGGAAGCUUACCGGGAUCGACAGUUGUAUGAAGGCCAGGCUGAAGACCUUGCCGGACUAUCUGAGAGGAGGUGCAUGGCCGCCGUCAGUUCGUACCGUAAGGCGUCCUGUUAAGUCAGGCAACGAGCGAGACCC